rnacentral:rRNA from 1 species
CCACCACCAAAGCAUUCUCUGGUGUUGAAGGCCCUGCAAAGCAGCAUCGCGGUGGCGGAGCGUCGUUUGCGACGCCCAACACACAAAACAAGCGGUGAAUGCUUUGGGGUGGGGUGACUGCGUACCUUUUGUAUAAUGGGUCAGCGACUUAUAUUCUGUAGCAAGGUUAACCGAAUAGGGGAGCCGGAGGGAAACCGAGUCUUAAUUGGGCGUUAAGUUGCAGGGUAUAGACCCGAAACCCGGUGAUCUAGCCAUGGGCAGGUUGAAGGUUGGGUAACACUAACUGGAGGACCGAACCGACUAAUGUUGAAAAAUUAGCGGAUGACCUGUGGCUGGGGGUGAAAGGCCAAUCAAACCGGGAGAUAGCUGGUUCUCCCCGAAAGCUAUUUAGGUAGCGCCUCGUGAAUUCAUCUCCGGGGGUAGAGCACUGUUUCGGCUAGGGGGCCAUCCCGGCUUACCAACCCGAUGCAAACUGCGAAUACCGGAGAAUGUUAUCACGGGAGACACACGGCGGGUGCUAACGUCCGUCGUGAAGAGGGAAACAACCCAGACCGCCAGCUAAGGUCCCAAAGUCAUGGUUAAGUGGGAAACGAUGUGGGAAGGCCCAGACAGCCAGGAUGUUGGCUUAGAAGCAGCCAUCAUUUAAAGAAAGCGUAAUAGCUCACUGGUCGAGUCGGCCUGCGCGGAAGAUGUAACGGGGCUAAACCAU